AGCAGCCGCGGUAAUUCCAGCUCCAAUAGCGUAUAUUAAAGUUGUUGCAGUUAAAAAGCUCGUAGUUGAAUUUCGGGAUUAGUACGCUGGUCAUGCCUUUGGUAUGUACUGGUGUUACUGGUUCCUACCUUCUGAAGAACCGUCAUGUCAUUAGUUUGGUGUGGCGGGGAAUCAGGACUGCUACUUUGAAAAAAUUAGAGUGUUUAAAGCAGGCUCGCGCUUGAAUACAUUAGCAUGGAAUAAUGAAAUAGGACGUUUGACCCUAUUUUGUUGGUUUCUAGGAUCGACGUAAUGAUUAAUAGGGAUAGUUGGGGGCAUUAGUAUUCAAUUGUCAGAGGUGAAAUUCUUGGAUUUAUUGAAGACUAACUACUGCGAAAGCAUUUGCCAAGGAUGUUUUCAUUAAUCAAGAACGAAAGUUAGGGGAUCGAAGACGAUCAGAUACCGUCGUAGUCUUAACCAUAAACUAUGCCGACUAGGGAUCGGAUGAUGUUAAUUUUUAAUGUACUCAUUCGGUGCCUUA
rnacentral:rRNA from 1 species